UACGGAGGGUGCAAGCGUUAUCCGGAUUUACUGGGUUUAAAGUGUGCGUAGGCGGGCUUUUAAGUCAGCGGUGAAAGCUUCGAGCUUAACUCGGAAAUUGCCGUUGAUACUAUUAGUCUUGAAUUAAGUUGAGGUGGGCGGAAUGUGUCAUGUAGCGGUGAAAUGCUUAGAUAUGACACAGAACACCGAUUGCGAAGGCAGCUCGCUAAACUUAUAUUGACGCUGAGGCACGAAAGCGUGGGGAUCAAACAGG
rnacentral:rRNA from 1 species